CAACAAAAAUUAAAAAAAACAAAAAUUAAAAGUACCUUUUAAUUUUUGAGUAUUUACUUGUAAUCACAGGCUUUCCCAAAUUAUUAGAAUGCCUUAUACCUUGGCUGUUUUACUAGAAUAAUGAUUUAGGCUAUUUAGUAUAAUCAUUUUGUUCAGAAUUUGGUAUAAACAGAUCUUUUUUGCUUUUCAGAAAUUACUAAGCUCUGUCGGUGCCACAGCUGAUGCCUCUUCAGUUCCAGAGGCUUCUUCUGGUGUCUGUAGCUCUUGACAGUGGUACUUCACCUUCAGUGGUUUGCCGGGGUACCAGACCACGUGAAUAUGACAGGGAAUCAUUUCCUGGGAAAUAAGAGUUCUAAAAUAUUAUGAUCUGCAAAAACUUGUGGUUUAAACAGUUCUAUAUACCAUUUUGUUUUACCUGUGUUGAGAAUUCAUGGAGUAGAACAGUAUAAUCAAAAUCAAUUGCAUCUUCAUUUGUUUUCUAGAAGAAGAAAGAAAGAGUUAGUGCGAUAGAUAGUGUGGGUUUAUAUUAGCUUAGAAUUUGGAAGGCUCGUCUUAUAUCACCUGCCUUGAAUGGGUGGAUGGGUGCCUUGAAUCACCCGCCGCCUCUUUGAUUCUAGCCUCAUCUCCUUUGGUGGUAUCCUGCAUUAAGAUGUGGAAGUUGUUGAUUCUUACUGUUUUGCCACUGUCAUGAUAAUCUAGGAAGGCAACUUGAGGUUACAACUAGUAGGUGACAAGUGGGGAUUCAAACCCAGAUCUACUGACUCCACCACCCACAUCCUUCAUGCUGUACCACACUGCUUCUAAAACCAGCACAUUUUAUAGGAUUUAAUCCAAGUUGUCAGAGAACUAGAAUGCGAAUGAGCCAAGCUUCUGAAUUCGAGAAACGCCAAGGUGCAGUAUCCCACCUCCGGUUUUUUCAGAACACUUAGUCUCAGUAAUGGAUGGGACACAGAUGCAGCCAGAAAUGGAGACCACAGGUCCUCCAUGCCGACGCGGGCCUGUCACAGUCUCCGGGCAAAUGAGUGAACUGAGAGAGAGACAGUGGGGCAGGAAGCGCUGUGGUGGUCAGAUGUCAAGCUUAAUACCCCAGUGCAAGUCCAGAGAUGACUUCUGUGGUUUUGGAGAUUGGAUUUGCCGGUAAGUGCCAAGUGUCAGCUGCUGUCCACAGGCCCUGCUGAGUGCCAGCGCCAAUGGGCUCUGCUUCACUUCAGCUGAGUCACUUCAGAGGCAGCGCUCAUUUCUUACAAGAGACGGCACCACCGCCCAUUAGCUCUGGACCUAAAAUGAGAUCAGCUUGACUCCCCUGCAGCCUCCCAGCAAGGCCCCGAGACAGCUCGCCCGGCCCUGGUGCAGAAGGCCAUGAUGCACACGACAGAGGCCCUGGAUGGGGUCCCGUCACCUAAAGUUUCCAAAGCCACCACCAGAAACCUCUAGAAUUUUUCUCCUCAGCUUCUGGACUCAACCCUGAGAACUGCACCCCUACGUGUGGGUCCUGUUGCAACGACCUCCACCUCUUCUCCCUGGAGUCCGGCUCUUGCCCUGCCCUGCGUCUGGGAUGAGAAGUGGGCAGAUUAAAGGGGCACAGAUAGUUUUCAGUGGAGUCACUAUAUUGUACUCGAGGGGGAAAACAGGAAAAGGAUACUUGUGAAUUUUGUUCAGAUAAUCAGGUGUACCACAUUCUGUAGUUGAAUUAAAUUGCCAUUUGGGGGAUACAUUUUUAGAUAAUCAUUUUUUAAACAUAGAUCUUUAUAGGAGUAUAACUGCUUCACAAUAUACUGUGUUAGUUUCUGUUGUCCAACAAAGUGAAUCAGCCAUAUGCAUACAUAUAUCCCCAUAUCCCUCCCUCUUGAGUCUCCCUCCCACCCUCCCUAUCCCACCCCUCUAGGUGGUCACAAAGCACCGAGCUGAUCUCCCUGUGCUAUGUGGCUGCUUCCCCCUAGCUAUCAAUUUUACAUUUGGUAGUGUAUAUAUAUGUCCAUGCCACUCUCUCACUUUGUCCCAGCUUACCCUUCCCUCUCCCCGUGUCCUCAGGUCCAUUCUCUUGUAGGUCUGCAUCUUUAUUCCUGUCCUGCCCUUAGGUUCUUCAUAACCAUUUUUUUUUUAGAUUCCAUAUAUAUGUGUUAGCAUACAGUAUUUGUUUUUCUCUUUCUGACUUACUUCACUCUGUAUGACAGACUCUAGGUCCACCCACCUCACUACAAAUAACUCAAUUUCGUUUCUUUUUAUGGCUGAGUAAUAUCCCAUUGUAUAUAUGUGCCACAUCUUCUUUAUCUAUUCAUCUGUCGAUGGACAUUUAGGUUGCUUCCAUGAUCAUUCUUUUUAAGAUAUAGUAAUGACAUGCAUUCCUGAAUAUAGAAAUUCCAGAUAUUGGUUCAUACCAGGUAUGCUGACAACAUCCAAGAGGUUUUUAAGUUGCUUCAUGUACUUGUAGAGCUGAUAAUCUUCUUCUUGUCUUGUCUUCUUCUCAAUGAGCCGAGUACACGUUAUAUUAAUGGCUGGUCUGGGUUUCUCCUUCCUGAAAAACACUCGAGCAGAACAUUUCCCCAGAUGUUCCUUACCUUCCUGAAAUAAAGAUUUUGGAAUUAGAA